CGCGGAAUUGAGUGACCGAUCCUGGCUUGGCACCGCUGGAAUCGAGAGAUGCAAGGAGGUUUUUUAGCUAGAACACGACCCACCAGAGAUAUGUUCCUGCAAGCCCUCAUGAUCCUUCUGUUGGCUCCAGUCACCUUGGCAAUACCAGAACAUCCUCUUCGGGGAGCAAUCCAAACCAUCGCCUCAGCUGCUGGUGCUACAAAUUGCUGGAUGUGCACCUUGCUAAAUUCAACCAAUGGACUGGGAAUUGAAUUUGUA